GAAAUGCGAUAAGUAAUGUGAAUUGCAGAAUUCAGUGAAUCAUCGAAUCUUUGAACGCAUCUUGCGCUCCUUGGUAUUCUGAGGAGCAUGCCUGUUUGAGUGUCAUUAAAUUUUGUCGAAACAUACAGUUUUGUGUGCUUUGGAUUGUUGGGAGUGUUUGCUGGGUUUUGUUUAGAAAACCAGCUCUCCUGAAAAGAAUUAUUUGGUUGGGCGACGGUAGUGACUCACUCCUGCCUUUCCAUUGGUGUGGUAGAUCGAAUGUGUUUCUAUUGCCAGGAAAGCAGUUAGAAGUGAAACUAUUGAUCGUCUCUCUGCUCAUUAUUGAGAAAAUGAUUAAGUGACUUGACCUCAAAUCAGGUAGGAUUACCCGCUGAACUUAA
rnacentral:rRNA from 1 species